GGUUAAGCGACUAAGCGUACACGGUGGAUGCCCUGGCAGUCAGAGGCGAUGAAGGACGUGCUAAUCUGCGAUAAGCGUCGGUGAGGUGAUAUGAACCGUUAUAACCGGCGAUUUCCGAAUGGGGAAACCCAGUGUGUUUCGACACACUAUCAUUAACUGAAUCCAUAGGUUAAUGAGGCGAACCGGGGGAACUGAAACAUCUAAGUACCCCGAGGAAAAGAAAUCAACCGAGAUUCCCCCAGUAGCGGCGAGCGAACGGGGAGGAGCCCAGAGCCUGAAUCAGUGUGUGUGUUAGUGGAAGCGUCUGGAAAGGCGCGCGAUACAGGGUGACAGCCCCGUACACAAAAAUGCACAUAUUGUGAGCUCGAUGAGUAGGGCGGGACACGUGGUAUCCUGUCUGAAUAUGGGGGGACCAUCCUCCAAGGCUAAAUACUCCUGACUGACCGAUAGUGAACCAGUACCGUGAGGGAAAGGCGAAAAGAACCCCGGCGAGGGGAGUGAAAAAGAACCUGAAACCGUGUACGUACAAGCAGUGGGAGCCUCUUAAUGGGGUGACUGCGUACCUUUUGUAUAAUGGGUCAGCGACUUAUAUUCUGUAGCAAGGUUAACCGAAUAGGGGAGCCGAAGGGAAACCGAGUCUUAACUGGGCGUUAAGUUGCAGGGUAUAGACCCGAAACCCGGUGAUCUAGCCAUGGGCAGGUUGAAGGUUGGGUAACACUAACUGGAGGACCGAACCGACUAAUGUUGAAAAAUUAGCGGAUGACUUGUGGCUGGGGGUGAAAGGCCAAUCAAACCGGGAGAUAGCUGGUUCUCCCCGAAAGCUAUUUAGGUAGCGCCUCGUGAAUUCAUCUCCGGGGGUAGAGCACUGUUUCGGCAAGGGGGUCAUCCCGACUUACCAACCCGAUGCAAACUGCGAAUACCGGAGAAUGUUAUCACGGGAGACACACGGCGGGUGCUAACGUCCGUCGUGAAGAGGGAAACAACCCAGACCGCCAGCUAAGGUCCCAAAGUCAUGGUUAAGUGGGAAACGAUGUGGGAAGGCCCAGACAGCCAGGAUGUUGGCUUAGAAGCAGCCAUCAUUUAAAGAAAGCGUAAUAGCUCACUGGUCGAGUCGGCCU
rnacentral:rRNA from 1 species